ensembl:ncRNA Y105E8A.47 ncRNA
GCUAAGGCUUAGGCUUAGGCAUAGGUUCAGGCUUAGGCUCAGGUUUAGGCUUAGGCUUAGGCUUACAGUUUGGCUUAGGCUUAGGCUUAAGCUUAAGCUUAGGCGGAGGCUUAGGCUAAGGCCUAGGCUUAAGCUGAUGCUUGGGCU